rnacentral:rRNA from 1 species
UUAGUCGUAAACUUAAAUAAUCCUAAAACAAGAUUAUUCGCCAGAGUACUAUCGGCAACAGCCCAAAACUCAAAGGACUUGGCGGUGCUUCAUAUCCUUCUAGA